GGGAAUUCAGCUGAUGAGCAUGAUUUGUGCUUGGGCAUAUUGACCGCCUUUCAGUGUCUGCUUAACUGCGGGUGCCUGCCUCUGGUGGGUAUGUGUGGUGCGCUUAUCAUGUGCCGCACGCAUUGGAGGGUGUAUGAGUCUGCUUGUCGGUGCACUUUCUCAGGGUGUUCACCACGACCGGCACUGCUGUCUGUCUGCUUUGGUCAAACUGAUCAGGUCUGAUUAACGUUGGGCUUGGUUGGGUUGGCAGGUGACUCACUGGUCCACUCUGUGGGCUAUGAGUGUUACUAGCCGGCUAUAGUGGAUCUGUACGGUGUGUCGGAGACGGCGGCUUUGCAUAUGCGCUCUGUCCUUCAGGCGUGGUUGAGUCUGGUCGACUUGUUGCUAGUUUCGGCUGGUCAGUUGAUGGCUUGAUCAUGUUCAGUUGGCAGUGGUGUGUGUGUCUUAGUUUGGGCCAAUAGUCUGUGGUGUUGUGGUAGACUAUCCACCUGACCCGUCUUGAAACACGGACCAAGGAGUUUAACAUGUGCGCGAGUCAUUGGGCUUUACGAAACCCAAAGGCGCAGUGAAGGUAAAGGUUUGGCUUGUCCAGGCUGAGGUGAGAUCCUGUUGUUUUGCUCAUUAAUUCCAAGCUGCGAGCAGCAGGCGCAUCACCGGCCCGUCCCAUGACGUAGACAUGUGGCCUUGUGCUAUGUGCACCGUCGGGGCGGAGCAAGAGCGUACAUGUUGAGACCCGAAAGAUGGUGAACUAUGCUUGCGAAGGUGAAAGCCAGAAGAAACUCUGGUGGAGGACCGUAGCGAU
rnacentral:rRNA from 1 species